rnacentral:rRNA from 1 species
AUUGAACGCUGGCGGCAUGCCUUACACAUGCAAGUCGAACGGCAGCACGGGAGUAAUCCUGGUGGCGAGUGGCGAACGGGUGAGUAAUAUAUCGGAACGUGCCUAGUUGUGGGGGAUAACGCAGCGAAAGCUGUGCUAAUACCGCAUACGAUCUAUGGAUGAAAGCGGGGGAUCGCAAGACCUCGCGCAAUUAGAGCGGCCGAUAUCAGAUUAGCUAGUUGGUGGGGUAAAAGCCCACCAAGGCGACGAUCUGUAGCUGGUCUGAGAGGACGACCAGCCACACUGGAACUGAGACACGGUCCAGACUCCUACGGGAGGCAGCAGUGGGGGAUUUUGGACAAUGGGCGCAAGCCUGAUCCAGCAAUGCCGCGUGCAGGAUGAAGGCCUUCGGGUUGUAAACUGCUUUUGUACGGAGCGAAAAGGUUCUUUUUAAUACAGAGAGCUCAUGACGGUACCGUAAGAAUAAGCACCGGCUAACUACGUGCCAGCCGCCGCAGUAAUAC